ensembl:lncRNA
GGGUGUUUGGUCUGCAUGUAUGUUUGUUAACCAUGUGUCUGUAAUGCCUACAGUGGCCAGAACAGGGCAGGUGGCACCAGAUCCCCUGGGACUGGAGGUACAGAUGGGUGUGAACCACUAUACUGUGAGUACUGGAAAUUAAAUCAAGGUCUUCAUGCAAAGCAUCCAGUGCUCUGAACUGCUGAGUCAUCUACUUAUCACGUGGGAAGCUGCUUUGGAAUAUUUUUGUUUCCUGAAUCUUCCUGCAAUCUUGACCCACAGUGGUUCUGGGGGUACACAGACAGCACAGGUCUCUGAUGAGUGAAUAAAGGAUUUGAAGCUCAACUCACCCACGACCCUAUUUGGAGACAUGUAAGAUGAUCGCCCUCCUGAGAGCACCUGUCACUCCAGAAUGGGAUGAGACCUACCACUUUGGGCUUCUUCCAGGAGCAGAAAACCAAUUAUAAAUAUGAAACAGAUUUCACUACUGGAACCAAACUUCACAUCCAAAAACAACAAACUUCUCAACCAAGAGUAUCUGAAAUAUAAACAGCAAGACCGAGGAUGUAAGAGGUAAACAAGCCUGACAGAGAUCAUCCUUUCCUAUGGGACACACAUGGGAGGGAGUUUUCCAAGCUAAGGAAGAUUCUACCGCAGGUAGCUGCUACAAGAUGGAAGGUUUUGUUGCUGUUGUUGUUUUGUUUUGUUUUUUAAAUCAGGGGGAAAACCCAAAAUGGUCUAUAUGUUUUUAUGUGUUGUGUGGCUAGUUAGCUAUGACCUACAGAAUUAUCAUGGUG